GUAUGGCUCGCUGAGUGAAGGAUCAGAACAUUUCUCAUUAUUUUGGAUGGAGACUGUCACAAACCCUCUGAAACUCUCACACUACACGAGCACAAGAUGGUAGAUUCUCUUUUCUCAUAAAGCUUUCCCUCCUAAAUCCUGUUUUGUCCUGCUUGGCAGCUGAAGUGCUGCACUUUGUUCCUCUGUAUGUCCAAGUUUAGUGUCGUUAAGUGAUGGGUGGCUGUAAUACUUGCUGGAUGAUUUCUAGCUUUUUUUUCUUUAAUUGUCUAGGGACUUCUGUGUCAGAAGAGGAAGGUGGGAGAGAUCAUGACAAAAGCAGUGGGUCUCAAGAAGACAGGUAUCAAGGAACCCAAAUGUGAUACACAAAAACUCCUAAGAGGGUAGGUCUGUGGUUAAUCCAAGUGGAUCCUGUUAUCUCUGAGUUCACGAGGAUGUUGAAGGACCUGCCAAUUGUUUGAAAUGAGAAGUACUGGCAGAAAAGGCUAAGCCUCACUGUUUGAAAGACAGUGACAUUUCAAAAUUGAUAUUCUGAAAUUGCCACAUCCCUUCUGGAAACAAAAAGCAAUAAAAGGUUGGUAUUUCAGUGAACUUCUCAGAAACACAGAGAUGAAGUGCUGUGACUGACCAGCCUGAGUUUUGCGUGUUUUCGGUUUGCACGUUGCAACAUUUUCUUUUUCACGGAACAAGUCUGUUUCUUGGGGUUUUUUAAAUUUCUGAGAGUUGUCCUGGGCAGCAGGCUUUUUUCCAACCCUGGUUUCCAGCUUGUGUUCCAGCAGAACCUGUGGUCCUUCUUACCCCAGUAAAUCAGACAGGAAGGGCUGGAGGCACAGCAGGACUAGGUACAAGAUGUUUCGUGUCAAACAAGAGAGAAGAGCAGGAAGAGUACUUGGGUAGGAGCUCAGACUAAGUUCUUUGUAAAAACAUCUCUUUACUUUCAUCCCAUAUAGCAUUAGCCUUCCA